rnacentral:rRNA from 1 species
CCAAUAGCGUAUAUUAAAGUUGUUGCAGUUAAAAAGCUCGUAGUUGAAUUUCGGGGUUAGCAGGUCGGUCGUGCCACUGGUAUGAACUGGCCUCGCUGAUUCCUCCCUCUUGAUGAGCCGUAAUGUCAUUAAUUUGGUGUCGCGGGGAAUCAGGACUGUUACUUUGAAAAAAUUAGAGUGUUUAAAGCAGGCAAGCGCUUGAAUACAUUAGCAUGGAAUAAUGAAAUAGGACGUUUGAUCUUAUUUUGUUGGUUUCUAAGAUUGACGCAAUGAUUAAUAGGGAUAGUUGGGGGCAUUAGUAUUCAAUUGUCAGAGGUGAAAUUCUUGGAUUUAUUGAAGACUAACUACUGCGAAAGCAUUUGCCAAGGAUGUUUUCAUUAAUCAAGAACGAAAGUUAGGGGAUCGAAGACGAUCAGAUACCGUCGUAGUCUUAACCAUAAACUAUGCCGACUAGGGAUCGGAUGAUGUUAAUUUUUUAAUGACUCAUUCGGCGCCUUACG